AGGUAACUAAUUUAACCUAAAAUAGCUAAUUUCGACUUAGCCAAUCAUGAUUACUAAACAUGGCUACCUU
rnacentral:tRNA from 1 species